AGCGAACGCUGGCGGCAGGCUUAACACAUGCAAGUCGAGCGGGCGUAGCAAUACGUCAGCGGCAGACGGGUGAGUAACGCGUGGGAACAUACCUUUUGGUUCGGAACAACACAGAGAAACUUGUGCUAAUACCGGAUAAGCCCUUACGGGGAAAGAUUUAUCGCCGAAAGAUUGGCCCGCGUCUGAUUAGCUAGUUGGUGAGGUAACGGCUCACCAAGGCGACGAUCAGUAGCNGGUCUGAGAGGAUGAUCAGCCACAUUGGGACUGAGACACGGCCCAAACUCCUACGGGAGGCAGCAGUGGGGAAUAUUGGACAAUGGGCGCAAGCCUGAUCCAGCCAUGCCGCGUGAGUGAUGAAGGCCCUAGGGUUGUAAAGCUCUUUUGUGCGGGAAGAUAAUGACGGUACCGCAAGAAUAAGCCCCGGCUAACUUCGUGCCAGCCGCCGCCGU
rnacentral:rRNA from 1 species